rnacentral:rRNA from 1 species
AGAAUCAACGCUGGCGGCGUGCCUAACACAUGCAAGUCGAGCGCGAAAGGGGAGCAAUCCCCAAGUAGAGCGGCGAACGGGUGAGUAACGCGUGGGUAAUCUACCUCCGAGUGGGGAAUAACAGCGGGAAACUGCUGCUAAUACCGCAUGACAUCGUCGAGCCUUCGGGCCUGACGAUCAAAGCCGGGGACCGCAAGGCCUGGCGCUUGGAGACGAGCCCGCGUCCGAUUAGCUAGUUGGCGGGUAAUGGCCCACCAAGGCUCCGAUCGGUA